rnacentral:misc_RNA from 1 species
UCCGAUUUGACACCGGCAGUCUCGCUAGAGUCCUCGCCAUGACGCGUUAGCAACUAACGACAGGGGUUGCGCUCGUUAAGGGACUUAACCCGACACUUCACAGCACGAGCUGACGACAGCCAUGCAGCACCUGUGCACGUUCCACCCGAGGGUGUGGCUCCUGUUUCCAGGAGUUAAUCCGUGCAUGUCAAGCCUAGGUAAGGUUCUUCGCGUUGCUUCGAAUUAAGCCACAUGCUCCACCGCUUGUGUGAGCCCCCGUCAAUUCCUUUGAGUUUUAGCCUUGCGACCGUACUCCCCAGGCGGUGCACUAAACACUUUCGCUUCGGCCAAGGACGGCGUCAGUACCUCCUCGACCUAGUGCACAUCGUUUACGGCGUGGACUAC